CCUACGGGAGGCAGCAGUGAGGAAUAUUCGUCAAUGGGCGCGAGCCUGAACCAGCCAAGUCGCGUGAGGGAUGACGGUCCUACGGAUUGUAAACCUCUUUUUCCGGGGAGCAAGCGUGCGUUCGUGACCGCGCGUCGAGAGUCCCCGGAGAAAAAGCAUCGGCAAACUCCGUGCCAGCAGCCGCGGUCAUAGGGAGGAUGCGAGCGUUAUCGGUAUUUAUUGGGUUUAAAGGGUGCGUAGGCGGGAUGCCACGUCAGCGGUAAAAAUGCGGUGCUCAACGCCGGCGAGCCGUGGAAACUGGCGUUCUUGAGUGGGCGAGAGGUAUGCGGAAUGCGUGGUGUAGCGGUGAAAUGCAUAGAUAUCACGCAGAACUCCGAUUGCGAAGGCAGCAUACCGGCGCCCUACUGACGCUGAGGCACGAAAGCGUGGGUAUCGAACAGGAUUAGAUACCCUUGUAGUC
rnacentral:rRNA from 1 species